GACGAACGCUGGCGGCGUGCUUAACACAUGCAAGUCGAACGAAGUGGCGAACGGGUGAGUAACGCGUAAUUAACCUGCCCUUCAGAGGGGGACAACAGUUGGAAACGACUGCUAAUCCCGCAUACUGAAGGAGGGGAUUGCGUCUGAUUAGCUAGUUGGAGGGGUAACGGCCCACCAAGGCGAUGAUCAGUAGACGGUCCGAGAGGAUGAACGGCCACAUUGGGACUGGGACACGGCCCAGACUCCUACGGGAUGGAGCAAGGGGGAAUCUUCCGCAAUGGACGAAAGGCUGACGGAGCAACGCAGCGGGAGUGAUGACGGCCUUCGGGUUGGAAAGCUCUGUUAAUCGGGACGCGGUACCGGAAUAGAAAGCCACGGCUAACUACGUGCCAGCAGCCGCGGUAAUUC
rnacentral:rRNA from 1 species